GAUACAGCUGUGUUUUUAUUGACACAGGAUUCUGGACAUUGCAAAUCGGUAGUACAGACGAGUAUCUCAGCCUACAGUGAUGUCCUAAACAAGCUAACAGCAGACAACAAAAGAUGCCAUAUUUCCAUGCAACGUUACCCUGCAAACACCAAAUGUAUAGUUGUUCCUGGGCUGUUUGAUAAUCAAUUGAGUAAAAUAAUUGUGUCAACGCCCUCAUUGAGGUUUGAAAAGACGAGCUGUCAAGAACUGAAGAUCCAGGAAGAUGGACUGAUGAUUACCACGGCCAGUCCUCUGGGAAAAAGAAAAUCUUUCACUUUUGGGGCAGUGACAGAUGGGCUCCUGAAAGAGGGGAGAUUUUACUGGGAGAUUGAUGUCCCUUAUGGGAGUAUUGGGAAAUGGGAGUGUGUUCUAGGCGUCGGUAAUCAACACCGUCUGGAGGAGCCAAGCGACAAGUAUAAGUAUGUUACGAACGCCAUUGGACUGAAGUGUGUAAAUGACAAGUACACUUGGCUUCCCUACUGCAAGGCCACCCAGGUGAAUACGCACGAGGAUACAUGGAAGGCCUGUGAACGAAUAGAAAGAUUUGGUGUUUAUUUGGAUACUUACAGUAAGAUAAUGAUCUUUAUAGACUGCUGCAGGAAUCAGGUUUUUGGUACCAUGAAGCACCUUAAUGUAUCAAGUCCCUUCGUUCCAGCGAUUAGUCUGUUGACUGGGUCCAGUGGUGUAUCAGUUCACUUGAUAUCACAGCCUGUUCUUCCGCAAGUCUUGUGUGACAAGCUGGGAGAGUUAGCAGCCAUGGAUACCUCUGUAUGAAUGUAUUUUGAUUCCAAUAAGACUGCAGUAGUCAAGAGGCAAUGCAUUAUACUAGUAGAAGUAUAAUAGAAGUUAAUUACUAGAAGUAAUUUUUCAAAAAUUCCGAAAUCACACACUGCUGGUUUAGGUGAAAUGUGCACGCUAAAAGGUUGUCAGUUUGUGUACCACGCAUAACUUAACAAAGCCAUGUGUCAAAUGUUACACAUUAUUAUUGGUGUUAAAACGAGCUAUUAUGAACCCAAUAAACAUAUGGUUAUUGGCAUUAAAUGAAGGGAACAGAACAGCC